rnacentral:rRNA from 1 species
GUGGGGAAUAUUGGACAAUGGGGGGAACCCUGAUCCAGCCAUGCCGCGUGUGUGAAGAAGGCCUUUUGGUUGUAAAGCACUUUAAGCGAGGAGGAGGCUACCGAGAUUAAUACUCUUGGAUAGUGGACGUUACUCGCAGAAUAAGCACCGGCUAACUCUGUGCCAGCAGCCGCGGUAAUACAGAGGGUGCAAGCGUUAAUCGGAUUUACUGGGCGUAAAGCGCGCGUAGGUGGCCAAUUAAGUCAAAUGUGAAAUCCCCGAGCUUAACUUGGGAAUUGCAUUCGAUACUGGUUGGCUAGAGUAUGGGAGAGGAUGGUAGAAUUCCAGGUGUAGCGGUGAAAUGCGUAGAGAUCUGGAGGAAUACCGAUGGCGAAGGCAGCCAUCUGGCCUAAUACUGACACUGAGGUGCGAAAGCAUGGGGAGCAAACAGGAUUAGAUACCCUUGUAGUCC